rnacentral:rRNA from 1 species
AGAGUUUGAUCCUGGCUCAGGAUGAACGCUGGCGGCGUGCUUAACACAUGCAAGUCGAACGAACCUUCGGGUUAGUGGCGGACGGGUGAGUAACGCGUGGGAACCUGCCCUCAGGAGGGGGAUAACGGUUGGAAACGGCCGCUAAUACCCCAUAUGCCGAGAGGUGAAACGAAUUUCGCCUGAGGAUGGGCCCGCGUCUGAUUAGCUAGUUGGUGGGGUAAGAGCCUACCAAGGCGACGAUCAGUAGCUGGUCUGAGAGGAUGAUCAGCCACACUGGGACUGAGACACGGCCCAGACUCCUACGGGAGGCAGCAGUGGGGAAUUUUCCGCAAUGGGCGAAAGCCUGACGGAGCAACGCCGCGUGAGGGAUGAAGGCCUCUGGGCUGUAAACCUCUUUUCUCAAGGAAGAAGACCUGACGGUACUUGAGGAAUAAGCCACGGCUAAUUCCGUGCCAGCAGCCGCGGUAAUACGGGAGUGGCAAGCGUUAUCCGGAAUUAUUGGGCGUAAAGCGUCCGCAGGUGGCCCUGUAAGUCUGUCGUUAAAGCGUGGAGCUUAACUCCAUUUAAGCGAUGGAAACUACAGGGCUAGAGUGUGGUAGGGGCAGAGGGAAUUCCCGGUGUAGCGUUGAAAUGCGUAGAUAUCGGGAAGAACACCAGUGGCGAAGGCGCUCUGCUGGGCCGUCACUGACACUCAUGGACGAAAGCCAGGGGAGCGAAAGGGAUUAGAUACCCCUGUAGUCCUGGCCGUAAACGAUGAACACUAGGUGUCGGGGGAAUCGACCCCCUCGGUGUCGUAGCCAACGCGUUAAGUGUUCCGCCUGGGGAGUACGCACGCAAGUGUGAAACUCAAAGGAAUUGACGGGGGCCCGCACAAGCGGUGGAGUAUGUGGUUUAAUUCGAUGCAACGCGAAGAACCUUACCAGGGUUUGACAUCCUGCGAAUCCCUUGGAAACGAGGGAGUGCCUUCGGGAGCGCAGAGACAGGUGGUGCAUGGCUAUCGUCAGCUCGUGUCGUGAGAUGUUGGGUUAAGUCCCGCAACGAGCGCGACCCACGUCGUUAGUUGCCAGCAUUCAGUUGGGCACUCUAGCGAGACCGCCGGUGAUAAACCGGAGGAAGGUGUGGAUGACGUCAAGUCAUCAUGCCCCUUACAUCCUGGGCUACACACGUACUACAAUGCUACGGACAAAGGGCAGCGAUCCCGCGAGGGCUAGCAAAUCCCAUAAACCGUGGCUCAGUUCAGAUCGUAGGCUGCAACUCGCCUACGUGAAGGAGGAAUCGCUAGUAAUCGCAGGUCAGCAUACUGCGGUGAAUACGUUCCCGGGCCUUGUACACACCGCCCGUCACACCAUGGAAGUUGGCCACGCCCGAAGUCGUUACUCCAACCCUUGUGGAGGAGGACGCCGAAGGUGGGGCUGAUGACUGGGGUGAAGUCGGAACAAGGUA